GUGUUCGUAGUGUAAAGGUUAGCACAUAACACUGUGACUGUUAAGGAGGCGGGUUCAAUUCCCCUCGAACACC
rnacentral:tRNA from 1 species